GGUGAGCACCCUAUUGCCCUGAUUCUGUUGAUUGGGCCAAAGGGUGAGGCCCCCACAGGGCUUGAGCGCACCCCCUGCUGGAGAGGUGAGAUAAGUCAUUCCUACUGUGAGUCUGCAACUCCACCCAGCUCUUCUACCCUGCCCUGUGGACAGACAGUGGCGGGGCUUUUCUCAUCCUCUUGUUAGCUGAGCAAGUGCUCAAUGGUGUUUGCCAGGAAGAAGGGGUCCUGGGCUUGGACAGGUUGAUGGAACCAUAGUCAUCCCUCUGAGUGCUAGUUAAAAACUAAAAGUGACUGCUGAUACUGACCAACUUAAAAAAUUUCACCCUUCAAGCAGUGCUUUGGAAAAGUCAGCUUUGGAUUUUUCUCAGUUAAGCUGCAAAGUAAGGUGCUGUAGGAUAAUAUUUUACCAUCUCUCUUGUCUCCAAACCUCCCCCUACUUCUUUCUCCUUUACCUCUCAUCAUCUGCUUUCCUUCCUUCCCCAUUUCCUUUUCCUUCCUAAAGGAAACCUUGUCCUUGGCCUUUUGUCUUUGGCUUGUCAAGGCCUGGAUGCAAAGUUGCUGCUCUCUACUUCCCCCUGCUGGUGGUGAGGGGGAAAAGCAAGCCCCUCUCGGACACGAGGAAGCCGCGUGUAAGUCGCUAGUGUCCCCUUGAAGAAGGAGCUGUGGGGAAGGAAGUGGUAGGAGAGCUUGUAUAACAACGUGGCGUUCACCUGUUCCUGUAGGCUUUCUUCAAAGCCUGGAAAAUCAAGAAGGUGCCUGGGCGCAGAGUAAUGAGAAGACAUCAUCUGCCCUGAAGGAGCUCACCUUGACUCACUUGGUCCAGCGACAUCUGAUUACCCACAAACUGUAUUCAGUGGAAAAUACUUGGAAAUCAAUUUUGCAGAAGAGACCUUUACCUGUUGACUUCAGUGAUGACUCAACUGGUGUUGAAAUUAUCUCUACCUCAGGGUUUGAAGCAGGUUAGUGGCACUCUUCAGACAAGAAGGAAGAUGAGAGGUGAAACUAUCAUCUUAUCAUGAGCCCCAUGGUCUGCUUGCUAAGCCCCUUGGACACAGAGACAGAUAUUCAGAAGAGUGGUGGCCUUAUUGUCCAAGAGUCGCAUGAUUAUGAUGAGGCCACUGGAGUCAAGUAACUCAUUGAACCUUAGUAAAUUUGGACACUUGUUUAUCCAUCAUGUAGAUUACUGGGGUUGGGAUGGGUCCUUUCAAUAGUGGGUCAAUAUUGUAGAUUAUGUGGAUCCAUUUAUUGACUUGUAUUGAGUAUUCUCUGGACAUACAUUUAUUAAUUCAAAAUUAAUUUCUUACAUUUUGCUAGGUGCUAAAGAUUCACAAAUGGAAGGUAUAAUUCUUGUCUUCUAGAUGCUUACUGUUGAGUCUGGCUCCAUAGCACUGUGUUUAGCUAUUAUGAGCACACAGGGGACGUGUAAGCUGUGGUUCCUGCCCUCAGCCUACAUUGAAUCCAGAGGAACCAAAGGAACACAAUCCCUAAGUUAGAAAGGUUCUCAGAGGACAGAAGUGUCUAUGUCAUUUUCAGUCUUGUUUCUUCAGCACAUGCCUCCUACUCAGCACAGACUGAGCCUCAUACAUGAUCACUGAGGGGCUCUCGGCCAGCCUUCCACUCAACUCAGAGCCUCCCUUCAGUGUCUGGUGUCUGGUUGAGGAUGUUCACAUAUAGGAAUCUCUCCAUCAUCCUGGUAGCCUAUUCUAUUGUUGAAUCACUCUAGUAACUAGGAAGUUACUAGUUUCCUUCAUAUCAAGUCAACACCAGCCUACAUCGCAACCUCUCCAAUGGAUUCAGAUUCUCCUUUAAGAACUACACAGACUAAAUCAAUUUCCUGCUCUAUAAGUAGGGCUUUAGGUAUUUAGAGACAUCCAUGUUGUAUCCUGCCACCCUUAUCUGACUUCUAUCAUUUCUAUUCCUUCAGUUACUUCUCAGGUAACUUAGUUUUGAGGCCACCUAAUCAUCUUAUUCAAUAGGCAAGACUGGCACCAAUGGUUAAAAAAUAAGACAAAUCAUUUUGUAAUUAGGCGUCAAGUGGAUUACAUAGCUGUCUGAGGGCACAUGCUCUUGUGCAUGCACCCAUGCGCACAGUGAAGGACAAUUCAAUAAUCGCUAGGAGAGGAGGCAGGCCACUUGCUACCUGUAGAACAGGGGGAUUUCUCCUGGUUUCCAGAGAUUUAUCUGGACCCUUAAAAGAAUUAACAGUUAAACCAACCAACAAAAAGGUCAUUCUUCUCCAUAGAUUGCCUUGAUUAGGCUUCUUGAAUGUUGAGAGGGAAAAUAUAUGAGGCUAGUGGAAGACCUGUAAGAGGGUACCAAGAAUUCAUUCUGCUUGGAUUCAUCAAGGCUCUCAGUGGGUAGCAUUUCUUCACUGCUUGCUGUCUGAUCUCUAGAAAACACCUAA